CGGCCGGGCGGGGGGCGCCGGUGCCGCUCCCGGUGUGUUCCGCACUCAGACAAAGGCGGCUCUAUGGGGGCGGCGGCUCAUAACGUUGGUGGUGCCGGGAGCCGCCCGGAGCUCUGUCAGCCGGGAGGGUGCCCUGGGGUCGCGGGGUCGGGGUGUGCCGUUAUCGGGCCUCCCGCAAGACGCGGCUUCGGAGCCCGUCGGAGUGUGCGGAGGAACGCUCGGAUAUCGGGGUUCUAUGCCGCGGAGAAACAAACGGUAGAGAACUCUAUUCGGUCAGAUGUCGGGUGUUUGCUGGCUGUCCCUGCUGCUGUUGUUGGCGAGAUCUUAGCCGGGCCCUGGGUGCCACCAGCAAGUGCAUUGUGUGCUGGGGAGGCUGCACCAGCCGCGCCUCUUGGGCAGCUCCGCUUUUUGUUGUGAGCCGUUAAUGUGUUCCGAUUGCAGAAGAGGUUCGUGUAAACGGGACGGGAUUUGGGGCAGUGAGGAGUCUGUGCGGCUCCUCUAAGUGAGCAGUGUCAGCACUCAGCCUGGCUUGGUGUUUUUCUGUGAGUCUCAGUAAGUCAGCGUAAAUACGAUGGUUGUUUCCUGUGAGAAAAGGAAGAACGCUCAGAUUCAGAGAGCAGAAUAGCCCUGGCUGAAAGCUAUUUCAAUAUAAUGACUGUAGGGAACCUGGGCUGCUCAGAAUUGUGCUCACAGAACAGGAAGGGUCUAUUUUGCUUUACGAUACUCAGCUGUCAUGAGAUGAAUGCCAGGUUCUUAUAUUAGCGCCCUGUUUGGUUCUCUUUGAAUUUGUACCUUAGUGUUUCAAUCUCUAAUGUACAAUUUCUUUUCCUUUGCACAGUUUUCAAAGGAAUUUUACAUUUCAUGUAGGCCUUGUGCCUAUUACAUUGGUUCUUCCUAACGUGGGUGCUUGGGAGCAAUGAAAUAUAAAUGUUCUUCCCAAUUUGUAUGCUAUUACAGGCAAGUGGAGGUGCUAGCCCUGAAGGCUGUAUAUGGACUUGACUUCAUUUUAUUAACAAGCUUGUUUUAAGCUCAGGUUACUUAACACACCAUUGACACAUAAGGCAAUAAUAGAUGUUUCUUGUGGGGUACUUUCUUCCUUUGUAAGCUGCCCCCAUGGGUUGGUUGGGACUUGUGGAAGCUGCUGCCUUGGUGCAAAAGGGAAGGUCAGUCAGCUCAAGUUGUCUGUCAUUUGGGUGGCAGUGCCUGUAGGAUGUGUGCAAGCAGCACACUCUGUCAAUAGCUGGCAAGUUGUGGUCUCUGCAGCACACAGAACUGUGCUGCUGGAAGUCAGCUUAGUCUUUAUUUUACUAAACAUCUGGAAAAUCUCCAUUAACAUACGGUAGUUAAGUUCUGUUUCUGUUUGAACUGUAACUGUCUUCUAUUUUUUUUAAAUUUACUUUCACAGUAAUUAAGAGUUGUUUCAUAUCCUCGGGGUACGUGAAUACAGAUGCAUUCUCUUCCCUACCUGUAGUGACAAGUGUGUUCUUCCCCAUUGGCCUCUUCUGUCUUCUCUGAGGUUUCUUGGGUUAUGGUUCAAUAGAAGGGAAUUUAAAAUCUCACUCAAAUGACUCCUCUGGCUCUUGGUGCUUCCUUUUAUAUAUUGUGCAGGGCACAGAAGCCUCUGCUACCUGGGAAAGAGUUGAAAAAAUGACAUGGUAGAGCUGGGAUGCUCCUGUUGAAGCCUGAAUACCUUAUGCUGGCCAGAGCCUGCAGCAUCGAGGAGAGCACCCUUCCAGGGCUUUCUGUGGCAGCUGAUUAUGGGGCUUUGGAGGAACUGACUGAUUGUUGUUGGUGACUCCUGUGGUUCCAGAUAAGAAAAAGAAGCACAAAGACUAAUGUUGUGAUCCUAUGACAAACAUGUGAGCCUUGCUUCAUGGACCGGCAGGGAUGAGAAAUGUGAAUUUGGCAUCUCUUCAGUCUUUGAAACAACGCCAGCGUGUCAGGUUGGGUACACAGGGUAAGAAAUGGGAAAGUGGAGUCUAAAUACUAUUAAAUAAAAAACAAACAAAAACCAAAAAACCCACAGCAAAUAAGUUUUGCUGUAAUAAGAAUCUCAUCUUUACAGCAGUUGUACACCCUGUCAACUGAAGUGAGACUACAUUGUGUUUCCCGAGGGAACUUAUUUAUCCUCCUGUGACUUUUGUUUGUGGAAAUGAGAUGCUAAUCAGCUUGGUGUCACUAACUAACUUUGGUCAGCUGCCACUCUUAGUUUUUGCCAGUGAAUAGCUCUACUUAUGUUCUACUUAUCACAUGCCUUUCUUUUAGCCCACAGUUUUCUAACUAGACUCAAGACCUUUUCCUCAUGCUUACAGCCUGCAUCAGUACGUACACUGUCCCUGUGCAGCAGCGGAUUAUGCCGGUCAGUUUUAAUAAACUAUUAUUGAACUUGAGAA